CGUUUCUCACCAGCAGGCCCUGGGAACGUAAAUGCAGGCCGUCUGGGAGAUCGCCAGGCCUGCCCCCUCUGCAUCUUUCUGAGGACAAAGGACAUUUGCAGCCAUGGUGCUGGGGAGCCAAGGAGACGCCGGCAUGCAGCCACCCUGGGUCCUGCAGGGGUGUGGACGUGCCACUUUGUGAGCGAGUGAAGAGCGGAUGGCAGCUGACGGUGUGUGCAUGAGCGUGGAUGGGGCGAGUGCCGUCCUCCGUGCAGGGGAGCCCUCCCAAGAGAACCCCACCAGCCAGGGAGCCCCAACCAGGCCCCAGCGGAAGGGUCUGGGAUCAGGUCCCGGCCACUUUUAGGUGUGCAAUUCAGCGGCAUGAAGCAUAUCUACACUGUUGUCAGUCAUCGCCACCACCCAUCCCCAGAACUUCUCAUCCUCCCAGACUGAAACCCCAUCCCCUUUGAAUGCUGCCUCCCUGCGCCCCUCCUCAGGCCCCAGCACCCACUAUUCCACCUCCUGUCUCUACGAACCGGACACCGCUAGGGACCUCAUACAAGUGGAACCACCCGGUGUCGGUCCCUGUGUGCCUGGCUCACUUCACUCAGCAUCAGGUUCUCAAGGUCCGUCCAUGUUGUGGCGUGUGUCGGGAUGUCCAUGCUUUCUGAGGCCAGAUCCUAUGUGGCCUGCAUAGACCAUCUUUCACUUGCUCACGCCUCCAUCCACGGGCACUCCGGUGGCUUCCAUCUGUCGGCUGCUGUGAAUAAACCUGCUGUGAACACGGGUGUACAGAUAGCUCUUUGCGUCUCUGCUUUCAAUUCUUUUGGGUGUAUACCCAGAGAAGAAAUUGCUGGAUCAUGUGGUAAUUCGAUGUUUAAUAGUUUUGAGGAGCUGCCAUACUUAAUAAUUUUUGAAGGUUUAGGGUUUCUUUGGGAAUUUCCUUCA